rnacentral:rRNA from 1 species
UAGAGUUUGAUCAUGGCUCAGGACGAACGCUGGCGGCGUGCCUAAUACAUGCAAGUCGAGCGCGGGAAGCAAACAGAUCUCCUUCGGGAGUGACGUUUGUGGAACGAGCGGCGGAUGGGUGAGUAUCACGUGGGCAACCUGCCUGUAAGAUCGGGAUAACUCGCGGAAACGUGAGCUAAUACCGGAUGAAGUCUUACGCCACCUGGCGUAAGGAUGAAAGAUGGCCUUUGUGCUAUCACUUACAGAUGGGCCCGCGGCGCAUUAGCUAGUUGGUAGGGUAAUGGCCUACCAAGGCGACGAUGCGUAGCCGACCUGAGAGGGUGAUCGGCCACACUGGGACUGAGACACGGCCCAGACUCCUACGGGAGGCAGCAGUAGGGAAUCUUCCGCAAUGGACGAAAGUCUGACGGAGCAACGCCGCGUGAGUGAUGAAGGUCUUCGGAUCGUAAAACUCUGUUGUCAGGGAAGAACAAGUGACGUUCGAAUAGGGCGUGACCUUGACGGUACCUGACCAGAAAGCCCCGGCUAACUACGUGCCAGCAGCCGCGGUAAUACGUAGGGGGCAAGCGUUGUCCGGAAUUAUUGGGCGUAAAGCGCGCGCAGGCGGUCCUUUAAGUCUGAUGUGAAAGCCCACGGCUUAACCGUGGAGGGUCAUUGGAAACUGAGGGACUUGAGUACAGAAGAGGAGAGUGGAAUUCCACGUGUAGCGGUGAAAUGCGUAGAGAUGUGGAGGAACACCAGUGGCGAAGGCGACUCUCUGGUCUGUAACUGACGCUGAGGUGCGAAAGCGUGGGUAGCAAACAGGAUUAGAUACCCUGGUAGUCC